rnacentral:pre_miRNA from 1 species
GAUAUACUCCCUCCGUCCGGAAAUACUUGUCAUCAAAAUGGAUAAAAGGGGAUGUAUCUAGACAUAUUUUAGUUCUAGAUACAUCUCUUUUUAUCCAUUUUGAUGACAAGUAUUUUCGGAUGGAGGGAGUAUGUA